AGUAGUAGUAGUAGUAUUCUGGUGUUGUUUGUACUAUGUGUGUGUAGUAUUCUGGUGUUAUGUGUGUGUAGUAGUAGUAUUCUGGUGUUGUGUUUGUAGUAUUUGUAUGUGUGUCUGUAGUAGUAUUCUGGUGUUGUGUUUGUAGUAUUUGUAUGUGUGUCUGUAGUAGUAUUCUGGUGUUGUGUCUGUAGUAGUAUUCUGGUGUUGUAUUUGUAGUAUUUGUGUGUGUGUG